rnacentral:rRNA from 1 species
CCUACGGGUGGCAGCAGUGAGGAAUAUUGGUCAAUGGCCGAGAGGCUGAACCAGCCAUGUCGCGUGCGGGAAGACUGCUCUAUGGAUUGUAAACCUCUUUUGUCCGGGAGUAAACUCACCUACGUGUGUGUGCUGGAGAGUAUCUGAAGAAUAAGCAUCGGCUAACUCCGUGCCAGCAGCCGCGGUAAUACGGAGGAUGCGAGCGUUAUCCGGAUUUAUUGGGUUUAAAGGGUGCGUAGGCGGGUUAUCAAGUCAGCGGUAAAAUCGUGGAGCUCAACUCCAUCCAGCCGUUGAAACUGAUGAUCUUGAGUGGGCGAGAAGUAUGCGGAAUGCGUGGUGUAGCGGUGAAAUGCAUAGAUAUCACGCAGAACUCCGAUUGCGAAGGCAGCAUACCGGCGCCCGACUGACGCUGAAGCACGAAAGCGUGGGUAUCGAACAGGAUUAGAUACCCGAGUAGUC